GAUGAACGCUGACAGAAUGCUUAACACAUGCAAGUCUACUUGAACUUCGGUUUGGGUGGCGGACGGGUGAGUAACGCGUAAAGAACUUGCCUCACAGUUAGGGACAACAUUUGGAAACGAAUGCUAAUACCUGAUAUUAUGAUUUUAGGGCAUCCUAAAAUUAUGAAAGCUAUAUGCGCUGUGAGAGAGCUUUGCGUCCCAUUAGCUAGUUGGAGAGGUAACGGCUCACCAAGGCGAUGAUGGGUAGCCGGCCUGAGAGGGUGAACGGCCACAAGGGGACUGAGACACGGCCCUUACUCCUACGGGAGGCAGCAGUGGGGAAUAUUGGACAAUGGACCAAAAGUCUGAUCCAGCAAUUCUGUGUGCACGAUGACGUUUUUCGGAAUGUAAAGUGCUUUCAGUUGGGAAGAAAAAAAUGACGGUACCAACAGAAGAAGUGACGGCUAAAUACGUGCCAGCAGCCGCGGUAAUACGUAUGUCACAAGCGUUAUCCGGAUUUAUUGGGCGUAAAGCGCGUCUAGGUGGUUAUGUAAGUCUGAUGUGAAAAUGCAGGGCUCAACUCUGUAUUGCGUUGGAAACUGCAUGACUAGAGUACUGGAGAGGUAAGCGGAACUACAAGUGUAGAGGUGAAAUUCGUAGAUAUUUGUAGGAAUGCCGAUGGGGAAGCCAGCUUACUGGACAGAUACUGACGCUAAAGCGCGAAAGCGUGAGUAGCAAACAGG
rnacentral:rRNA from 1 species